rnacentral:misc_RNA from 1 species
AAUUCAUUGACCUUGUGCCUGUCUAUCCCAACAGGAACAUAAUCAUCACCAAAGUUGUUCUCCCUGGAUUAAAACAAUAGGGACGAAGCUAACCCUAAUCAAAACGUUGCAGAACUAAAGCUGAACUUGACUGGCAAAAUAGGAUAUAAAAUUCACUCUGGUAGCCAAAUUUCCUUCACUAUCACUACUAUCAACCAACAUAAAUCCCCAGCAACACAGUAUUUGAUUAACAAAAACUGAAAACCAUGCUAAAAUACCCAGAAAGAUGCUCAUGCUUCAGGAACUUGCCCUUCUGCAGCCUCUGGAUUCA